rnacentral:rRNA from 1 species
ACAAACGCUGGCGGCAUGCCUAACACAUGCAAGUCGAACGGACAGAACAGGGAAGCUUUUCGGAGUGGAACUGGAAAGUUAGUGGCGGAUGGGUGAGUAACGCGUGGACAACCUACCUUGUAAAGGGGAAUAACCUCGAGAAAUCGAAGCUAAUACCCCAUAAUAACCUUGCUUCGCAUGAAGUAAGGAGGAACGGCGGCCUUAGCGCUGUCGAUACAAGAUGGGUCCGCGUCUGAUUAGCUAGUUGGUGAGGUAAAGGCUCACCAAGGCGACGAUCAGUAGCCGGCCUGAGAGGGUGAACGGCCACAUUGGGACUGAGACACGGCCCAAACUCCUACGGGAGGCAGCAGUGGGGAAUCUUCCGCAAAGGGCGAAAGCCUGACGGAGCAAUGCCGCGUGAGUGAAGAAGGCCUUCGGGUUGUAAAACUCUGUCCUUAUCGAAGAGAGAGUGUUGUAGUAACUGACAAUACUAGGACGGUAGAUGAGGAGGAAGCCCCGGCUAACUAUGUG